rnacentral:rRNA from 1 species
UACGUAGGGUGCAAGCGUUGUCCGGAAUUAUUGGGCGUAAAGAGCUCGUAGGCGGUUUGUCGCGUCGGCUGUGAAAGCCCGGAGCUCAACUGCGGGUCUGCAGUCGAUACGGGCAGGCUAGAGUUCGGUAGGGGAGACUGGAAUUCCUGGUGUAGCGGUGAAAUGCGCAGAUAUCAGGAAGAACACCGGUGGCGAAGGCGGCCCACUGGAUCGGUACUGACGCUGAGGUGCGAAAGCGUGGGGAGCAAACAGG